rnacentral:tRNA from 1 species
UGGGGUAUCGCCAAGCGGUAAGGCACCGGUUUUUGAUACCGGCAUUCCCUGGUUCGAAUCCAGGUACCCCAGGCA